AACGAACGCUGGCGGCGUGGAUAAGACAUGCAAGUCGAACGAGAGAAUUGCUAGCUUGCUAAUAAUUCUCUAGUGGCGCACGGGUGAGUAACACGUGAGUAACCUGCCCCCGAGAGCGGGAUAGCCCUGGGAAACUGGGAUUAAUACCGCAUAGUAUCGAAAGAUUAAAGCAGCAAUGCGCUUGGGGAUGGGCUCGCGGCCUAUUAGUUAGUUGGUGAGGUAACGGCUCACCAAGGCGAUGACGGGUAGCCGGUCUGAGAGGAUGUCCGGCCACACUGGAACUGAGACACGGUCCAGACACCUACGGGUGGCAGCAGUCGAGAAUCAUUCACAAUGGGGGAAACCCUGAUGGUGCGACGCCGCGUGGGGGAAUGAAGGUCUUCGGAUUGUAAACCCCUGUCAUGUGGGAGCAAAUUAAAAAGAUAGUACCACAAGAGGAAGAGACGGCUAACUCUGUGCCAGCAGCCGCGGUAAUACAGAGGUCUCAAGCGUUGUUCGGAAUCACUGGGCGUAAAGCGUGCGUAGGCUGUUUCGUAAGUCGUGUGUGAAAGGCGCGGGCUCAACCCGCGGACGGCACAUGAUACUGCGAGACUAGAGUAAUGGAGGGGGAACCGGAAUUCUCGGUGUAGCAGUGAAAUGCGUAGAUAUCGAGAGGAACACUCGUGGCGAAGGCGGGUUCCUGGACAUUAACUGACGCUGAGGCACGAAGGCCAGGGGAGCGAAAGGGAUUUAGAUACCCCUGUAGUCCUGGCAGUAAACGGUGCACGCUUGGUGUGCGGGGAAUCGACCCCCUGCGUGCCGGAGCUAACGCGUUAAGCGUGCCGCCUGGGGAGUACGGUCGCAAGAUUAAAACUCAAAGAAAUUGACGGGGACCCGCACAAGCGGUGGAGUAUGUGGCUUAAUUCGAUGCAACGCGAAGAACCUUACCUGGGCUUGACAUGUAAUGAACAACAUGUGAAAGCAUGCGACUCUUCGGAGGCGUUACACAGGUGCUGCAUGGCCGUCGUCAGCUCGUGUCGUGAGAUGUUUGGUUAAGUCCAGCAACGAGCGCAACCCCUGUUGCCAGUUACCAGCACGUGAAGGUGGGGACUCUGGCGAGACUGCCCAGAUCAACUGGGAGGAAGGUGGGGACGACGUCAGGUCAGUAUGGCCCUUAUGCCCAGGGCUGCACACGUACUACAAUGCCCAGUACAGAGGGGGCCGAAGCCGCGAGGCGGAGGAAAUCCUGAAAACUGGGCCCAGUUCGGACUGUAGGCUGCAACCCGCCUACACGAAGCCGGAAUCGCUAGUAAUGGCGCAUCAGCUACGGCGCCGUGAAUACGUUCCCGGGUCUUGUACU
rnacentral:rRNA from 1 species